AGGAAUUGUAAAAAUUAAAUGUGUCAUCAUUUUGAAACUGGGAAAAUUCAUGUAAAAUUGAGAUUCCUGAUUUCUUCCAAGAAUCACAAGUUUCACCGUGUUUGGCAACACUAGAUUGUGGUCCUACCCAACAGUAGUGGGCAAGAGCACAUGGUGGGUGAGCACACAGCACCCCCUCCUCUGCUCACUGCACCCCAACACUCACCCAUGCAGCCCCACCCCACUUGCUUGGAGUGUCCUGCAGGCGAGGGGCCACAGUGUCACUCCCACCACAGAGUCCCACUCUCCUGUUCUCUCUGCCACUCAGAGGACGUCUAGACCUGUGUUUCCUGGACAGAAGUCAGCCCUGGGAGCCGCAGUUUAUGCCUUCCUUCGCCCCCACACAAAUGCAAAAGCCUCCUCCCCAUUUACUAAGCCAAAGAAUGUCAGGAUUGAAUGUUUUGAAAGAAGAGUUAAAGACAGCUUUAGCCCUGGCGUUCCAUAGCUCCUUAUUAACACAGAGACUUUUCAUAACUCUGAGACAGCUGGAGACACAUUUCUGUGAAUUCAAAACUCCUGUGAAGGACGCUGGCCUCAAGGGUGCAGGGGAGGCUGGUCAGGUUUCCUAAUCUGCUCUUGGACUCAGGGCAGGUGCAGCUGGUGUUCUAGACCACAGCACAAUGGCAAGAAGGCCCCUCUGGAGCAAGUCAGGGUCCAGGCGCUACUGGCCCCAGGUGAGCCCAAGAUGCAGGCUUCAAUGCCAAAUUAACCAAGAAACAGACAGGACCCAGGGCCCGAGCACACAGACAGCCUGGUACAUGCGGAAUCACACACUGAUUUGCUCAUGGGAGCUGACUGUGAGGGCUGACAUCGCCUUUGGACUGAAUUGUGUGGAAUGUGCUGAAAGAGGCUUUGGAGUCAGAAAAUGUUAGAGCCUAGCAAGACACUCUAGAAAGCAUCUGCUCCCAGGGUCCCCAACAGUGACUGCUCUUGAUAAUCAUGUAAACAUUUCCAAAGUACAGAUUCCAGCCAGGCGUGGUGGCUCACACCUGUAAUCCCAGCUACUUGGGACGCUGAGGUGGGAGAAUCAAUUGAACCUAGGAGGCGGAGGUUGCAGUGAGUCAAGAUUGUGCCACUGCACUCCAGCCUGGGUGACAGAGUGAGACUCUGUCUCAAAAAACAAACAAAAAACAACAUACAGAUUCCUAGGCUCCAGCUACCCCUGCCCCAGCACACACACACGCACACAUGCACAUAUGCACACACAUAGAUUCUCAUGAGCAGCCAGGUUUGGGAACCAUUGGUGUAGCCCAAACCCUUCCAUUCAGUUUCUCAAGUACAGUACUAUGUUCAGUGACAUUUCCAAGGCCACAUCGCUGGUUUCGCAGGACUGGGAUUACAGGACAAGUUUCUUGACUACAACCCAGGGCUUUUUCCACAACACACUAUCUAUCUCCUGGAUGUACCAUAAAGGAGGCUGCCGAUGUACCCCAGAGAUUUUUGGAUGUGGAGAGAGGGUAAGAAGCAUAGCCUUUGUGCUUGUAAAGUAAACCAAGGUAAUUUUCCCCAAUAUUGGCCUCAGUCUCAAGUCUCUCUGGGCAAGAGAUUCUGCCUCUAGCUCUACAAUUAGUACAGUUUCCCUUGUUUUUUGAGAGGGGAUGAAAAGUACUGUACAUGUGUGUGGAGACUUCUCUGUGCCUCAGUUUACCUCUAUUUAUUUAUUUAUUUAUUUUGAGACGGAGUCUCGCUCUGUCACCCAGGCUGGAGUGCAGUGGCGCGAUCUCGGCUCACUGCAAGCUCCGCCUCCCGGGUUCACACCAUUCUCCUGCCUCAGCCUCCUGAGUAGCUGGGACUACAGGCACCCACCAGUACGCCCACCUAAUUUUUUUGUAUUUUUAGUAGAGACGGGGUUUCACCGUAUUAGCCAGGAUGGUCUCGAUCUCCUGACCUCAUGAUCCGCCCAUCUUGGCCUCCCAAAGUACUGGGAUUACAGGCGUGAGCCACCACGCCCAGCCAGUUUACCUCUACUUAAAAUGGAGAGAGUGCCCAGCACCCUUCUACCUUCUCCCUUGGGGCUCUGCAGAUUGACCGCACAAAGAUUGACCACACAGAUUGAUUGACCUGUGAAACCCCAAGGCAGAAAAAGAAGCUUUCUGUGCCCACACAGAGGUGUUCUUAAAGUCAGGGUUGCUCUUGGCACACAUAUUAAUAAUCCUGAUGUCUAGGUACCAUUGCAGAUCCUUUGGUUCCCCUCUACCCGUUCCAGGAAAGACUGCCUGUCUUCUCCGAGUUUCUUGAGGGCUGAUGAAAUAUUUCCUGAAUGUGAUCUCAGAAGGAAUCCCAGUUUUGAGGGACCAAACAAGAUUUUUUAAAAAUUAAAUACUACUACUAAAUAGCUGGUAUUGAGUUAAUCCUAAGUGCCAGGCAUUAUGCAAAACACUUUACAUGCAUUAUGGCAUUUAAUCCUCACUACAACCCUAGUGAAAUAAAUAUCAAUAUAAUUAAAAGUAUAAAUAUAAAUGAAGUGUUAUAAUAGUCUCAUUUUACAGAUGUGGAAAAUGAGGCUCAGAAAAGUUCACGUGCCCAAGAUCACACAGCUGCUAAAUGACAGAGCCACGAUUCAAUUCACAUAGUCAUCUCUAGAGGCAAAGCUCUGGUAAAGGGCUUGAUGACUGGUCACUGUCGUCACGAACUUGACCUUUCCUGCAGCACUGCCUGGUACUUUCCCAGUACAGUGUUCUGCCCUGACACAGCCAAGGCCAAGGGCAGUGCAGGCACAGCCACCGUGACUCUCUGCUGGGAGGUUAACAGCUCCAUCAGUUCAGGGACUGCCUGACCCAGCCUGACCAAAUUAGAGCAAGAGAAAGAAUUGUGCCAUGAAAAAUGGAAAACUCCUGAGAAGCUGUUCCAGCGUCAGGAGAGCAGCAGACAAGCUGGACUGGGGAAGAUUCUUCCUGCAAGACCUGCAGAGUGUAUGACACAUAACCAGCACCCAAGAAAUGUCUACCGAGGAAUUAAUGAAUGAGCCAUCUUGUGAUCAUCUGGCAAGACAGCCCAAGAAUAAAGCCGUCACCAUGGAGACUAAGAAGAGACAGAAAGACACUGGGUCUUCAUUGUCUCGUCCAGCUGUUCAUGAGGCCUUAUCUGAAGCCCACGUGACCUCCGGACUACUCACUUACAUGAGAGAAUAAAGCUCUUUUUUGUUUAGACCAAAUAAAUACAUAAUACAAUUACAUAAUCCCUUGAUUCCUUUUUAUGACUGAGCUCAGAGACUAUAUUUUGUCAUUUUAAAUCACCUUUGUCUUACAGUUUAUUUAACUGAAACAAAUAAACAAACCAAAACACGCCAGUUUUUCACUCCUCUGUCAAAGCCUUUCCAAGAUCACUAAGCUUGUGAUGUCCUGGGUGAAUGAAGAAGUAACAGUGUUUUCAACAACAUAGAAGCUUAUUUCUCUCUCAUAUAAAAGAAGGCUGGAGUCUGGCUGGUAUGGGAGAUACAGCAUCAUCAAAGUUUUAUCUUUUCGUCCUGCCAUCCUUAGAAUAUGGCUUUCAUCUUCAAGAUCACUUCCUAAGCUAUGAGGAUGCAAAGGUAUAAGAAUGACAUAGCGGACUUUGGGGACUCGGUGUGGGGAGAAGUUGGGAGGGGUGAGGGAUAAGAGACUACAUAUUGGGUACAGUGUACACUGCUCUAAAAUCUCAGAAAUCACCACCAAAGAACCUAUCCGUGGAAUCAAAAACCACCUAUACCCCCAAAACCACUGAAAUAAAACUAAAAAUUAAUUAAAAAAAAAAACAACAUAACUUCAUGGUCCAAUGUGACAGCUAGAGCGCCAAUCAUCAUGUUAAACUUCCUGUUCCAGAAAGGCAUGGAAGGAAGGGAGAAGGAGAAAAAGGAGUCUGUGAGUAGUCUAUUCCCUCUUAAGGAGUCCACAGAAGACUACCCAACAACUUCUGCUUAUGUCUCACUGGCCCUCAGGCUGCAAAUGUGGCUUCCAAGUGUAGUCUUUCAGCUGAGCACACUGCCACCCAGAUUAAAAUCUGGGUUAUGUGACCAAGGAAAAAGAGGAGACUGGAUAUUGGAUAGGCAACUAACAGUCUCUGCCGCACCCUACUUAACAAACUGGCCCAGCUUCUGUGUUCAGAUCUGAUGCUUGGUGCCCGCAGCUCCAAGGAGACCCCAUGGUUCAAGCUGCAAUUACUUGCUCCACAGGCCCUUACCAAGGAAAGUCAGGUUUUUUCCCUCCUGAGGAUCCUCUGACC
rnacentral:lncRNA from 1 species